rnacentral:tRNA from 1 species
GGUAGAGAAAUGGUCAAUACAUUCAGCUUCUAACUGAAAUGUUGGUGGUUCCAGUCCACC